AACGAACGCUGGCGGCAUGCCUAACACAUGCAAGUCGAACGAGACCUUCGGGUCUAGUGGCGCACGGGUACGUAACGCGUGGGAACCUGCCCUUAGGUUCGGAAUAACUCCCCGAAAGGGGUGCUAAUACCGGAUAAUGUCUUCGGACCAAAGAUUUAUCGCCUUUGGAUGGGCCCGCGUUGGAUUAGCUAGUUGGUAGGGUAAAAGCCUGCCAAGGCGACGAUCCAUAGCUGGUCUGAGAGGAUGAUCAGCCACACUGGGACUGAGACACGGCCCAGACCCCCCCGGGGGGCCGCAGUGGGGAAAUUGGGACAAGGGGCAAAAGCCUGAUCCGCCAAUACCGGUGAGGUGAUGAAGGCCUUAGGGUGGUAAAGCUCUUUUACCCGGGAUGAUAAGGCCGGGCCCGGGAGAAUAAGCUCCGGCAACUUCCGU
rnacentral:rRNA from 1 species